rnacentral:rRNA from 1 species
AUUGAACGCUGGCGGCAGGCCUAACACAUGCAAGUCGAACGGGGGACGGACGGGUGAGGAAUGGCUAGGAAGCUGCAUGAUGGAGGGGGAUAGCUACAGGCAACGGUAGAUAAUCCAGACUAAGGUCGGGUGUGCAUAGUUGGGAUUAGCUAGUAGGUGGGGUAAAGGCUCACCUAGGCGACGAUCCCUAGCUGGUCUGAGAGGAUGACCAGCCACACUGGAACUGAGACACGGUCCAGACUCCUACGGGAGGCAGCAGUGGGGAAUAUUGCACAAUGGGCGCAAGCCUGAUGCAGCCAUGCCGCGUGUAUGAAGAAGGCCUUCGGGUUGUAAAGCACUUUCAGCGGGGAGGCGUUACCCGCAGAAGAAGCACCGGCUAACUCCGUGCCAGCAGCCGCGGUAAUAC